rnacentral:rRNA from 1 species
GACGAACGCUGGCGGCGUGCUUAACACAUGCAAGUCGAACGGAAAGGCCCUGCUUUUGUGGGGUGCUCGAGUGGCGAACGGGUGAGUAACACGCGAGUAACCUGCCCUUGACUUUGGGAUAACUUCAGGAAACUGGGGCUAAUACCGGAUAGGAGCUCCUGCUGCAUGGUGGGGGUUGGAAAGUUUCGGCGGUUGGGGAUGGACUCGCGGCUUAUCAGCUUGUUGGUGGGGUAGUGGCUUACCAAGGCUUUGACGGGUAGCCGGCCUGUGAGGGUGACCGGCCACAUUGGGACUGAGAUACGGCCCAGACUCCUACGGGAGGCAGCAGUGGGGAAUAUUGCACAAUGGGCGGAAGCCUGAUGCAGCAACGCCGCGUGCGGGAUGACGGCCUUCGGGUUGUAAACCGCUUUCGCCUGUGACGAAGCGUGAGUGACGGUAAUGAGUAAAGAAGCACCGGCUAACUACGUG